rnacentral:lncRNA from 1 species
GCCCUUGUUAACACAUUUACACAAUGAAACCUUCCAGACAGACAUGUACACCUAACAAAUUAUUCCGUACACCAAAUAAAGUGUUUCUAUUGCAUAUAGUAUCUAAGAAAUAGAACAAACCACAUAAAACAAUCUUGAUCGCUAUUCCAUAAAAUUAGAUCACUUUCCGAUGCUCACCUGUAGAACUUUCAAUGAUCGAAUAUAAC